rnacentral:misc_RNA from 1 species
GAAAUGCGAUAAGUAAUGUGAAUUGCAGAAUUCAGUGAAUCAUCGAAUCUUUGAACGCACCUUGCGCUCCUUGGUAUUCCUUGGAGCAUGCCUGUUUGAGUAUCAUGAAAUCUUCAAAGUAAAUCUUUUGUUAAUUCAAUUGGUUCUGCUUUGGUAUUGGAGGUUAUUGCAGCUUAACACCUUCUCCUCUUUGUGCAUUAGCUGGAUCUCAUUGUUAGGCUUGGUCCCACGCAGGGUGAUAAGUAUCUAUCGCUAAGGACACUGUAACAGGUGGCAAAGGUAAAUGCAGAUGAACCGCUUCUAAAACUCCAUUAAUUUGAACAAUAUUUUUAUGAUCUGAUCUCAAAUCAGGUAGGACUACCCGCUGAACUUAA